rnacentral:rRNA from 1 species
AGGAGAGUUUGAUCCUGGCUCAGAACGAACGCUGGCGGCAGGCCUAACACAUGCAAGUCGAGCGCGCCCUUCGGGGUGAGCGGCGGACGGGUUAGUAACGCGUGGGAACGUGCCCAGAUCUAAGGAAUAGCCACUGGAAACGGUGAGUAAUACCUUAUACGCCCUUCGGGGGAAAGAUUUAUCGGAUUUGGAUCGGCCCGCGUUAGAUUAGGUAGUUGGUGGGGUAAUGGCCUACCAAGCCUACGAUCUAUAGCUGGUUUUAGAGGAUGAUCAGCAACACUGGGACUGAGACACGGCCCAGACUCCUACGGGAGGCAGCAGUGGGGAAUCUUGGACAAUGGGGGCAACCCUGAUCCANCCAUGCCGCGUGAGUGAUGAAGGCCUUAGGGUCGUAAAGCUCUUUC